GAAAAUGAGCCACACCGAGACAAACCGUGAGGCAGAUAAAAAUCACAUAGCCAUGCACCUGCAAAUGCAGGAAAAAAACAACCGAUUUUGUCACUUUAAAUCAAGUACUUGUUACAUCAUCAAUUAAGUUUGCCAUAAUAUGGGAUAGUAUUUUGUCAGCUGAACUGUGCUGUAGGCAGCGCAGCUACAAUUUGAAACAUACUGCAUAUAGAGCUCUCUUCCCACUGCAGGUUUAAAUGAACAGAGAAAACCUCCCCCUAAAAAUCAACAGUGCUGAAGGAAACAAACUGAAAUACCCAGAAGCCUUGGAAAUACUCAAAACUUGAUACAGAACAGGCAUCUUUUUGUUCACUCUACUUUUCAGGAGACCAAAAAAAUCAUUGCUUGCAGAAAGGAUUUCUCCAACACCUUUGAACUUUUGCCAUCGACAUGCAUCACGUCAGGAGAGUUGCAAAGCCUUGCUUUGACUGCCUGGCUGAUCACGCUGCCUUUCGUUGGUAUCAUCCCCUCAAGAACAUCUCAAAAGCUGAUGCUGAAAGUUAAAUGCUGGGAACAAAGUUGCUUUAUUUGUCUUCUUACUUGUCUUCACUUUGCAAGAAAAGGUUCAAGAGCCUUUUGGUGAUUGGAGGCUGUGGAUGGUUGUAUGCAAGGUGGAGUGAAUGGAUGGACG
rnacentral:lncRNA from 1 species